GCAGGAGAAGGGCGUGCUCAGUCUCCGCCUGCUCAGUGCGGGAUUCGAACCCAUGACAGCAGUGGAGCUGAAUGCGGAUGUCUACGGCGCAGUGACAGUGAUAAGGAACUGGAGUCUCGGGAUGUGCUUGUUUUGAGUCAGACGAGCUUCUGCGAAAUUCAGUCACGGAGGACGAUCGUGACUGAAGAAAUAUACACUGGAGUGAAUAUAUUUGUCAGUGGAGAACACCUUCCUCCUAAAUUGAGAGAAAAAAUUCUGACUGCAGGAAAAUGGGAAGUACAGUGAUGGACUCCAAGAAAAAGGACUGUGCAAAGAAAUCAUCAAAGAAAAAGCGAACUCUGCACCUGAACAUGCCAGAUUUGAGCACAUUCACAUCCUCUCUUAUGGACGGGGAGACUGACGGAGCAGAUAAAGAUGAAAUGCGCAAGGGUGACAGAAGUGACUCGGCUAGCCCAUGUUUGAAGCCUCCUUCCAGCCAGCCCGUUACCCCAGCUUCAGCUCCCAUUUGUCCCAGGACCAGUCCAGGCACUCCUAAAACCAUCUUCCCACGUCCACCAUCAUCUCACCAGGACUCACCUCCCAAAUCUCCCCACCGUCUCAGUUUCAGUGGUAUCUUCCGCUCCUCGUCCAGCUCCGCCCCUGCCAGCAUCAAGCUCUUCUCCAAAUCUAAAAAAGGCUCUGGGAUGUCCACCCCCCCCAGCACCCCGACACAGAGUCUGGCUCCACCGCUCUUCUCUGUGGAGAGCCCCAGUCCUGCGGGACACAUGGAGGAACGCCGCUCCCGCUCUCUCUCGUCUCCUCCAGACACAGGCCAGCGCUUCAGCCUGAGCUCCUCCUCCACCAAACCACCCAUCGCCUCGUACACCUUUAACUCUACCUCACGCCAGAGCUGCGUGCUUGCUGAAGGCAUGCUGGAAAAACUUGAACUUGAUAAUGAAGCUGCUGAAGAGCCAGACAGUGAUAUUUACAUGCGCUUUAUGAAAUCCCACAAGUGCUAUGACCUCAUCCCCACCAGUUCCAAACUAGUGGUCUUUGACACUACAUUACAGGUAAAGAAAGCUUUCUUUGCCUUGGUUGCAAAUGGAGUUCGAGCUGCGCCAUUAUGGGAAACCAAAAAGCAAAGCUUCGUGGGAAUGUUAACCAUCACAGACUUCAUCAUCAUCCUGCACAGAUACUACAAAUCACCUCUGGUGCAAAUCUAUGAGCUGGAGGAGCAUAAGAUUGAGACUUGGAGAGAACUGUACUUGCAAGAAACGUUUAAACCCUUAGUCAACACAUCUCCAGAUGCGAGUAUAUUUGAUGCUGUUUACUCGCUCAUCAAAAAUAAGAUCCAUCGUCUGCCAGUGAUCGAUCCGGUCACAGGAAACGCUCUGUAUAUCCUCACACACAAGAGGAUCCUCAAGUUUCUGCAGCUCUUUGUGUGUGAGAGGCCUAAACCAGCCUUCAUGAGGCAGACUCUGGAGGAGCUGGGCAUUGGCACAUACAGCAACAUCGCGUUCAUUCACCCAGAUACACCCAUUAUUAAAGCCCUGGGCAUGUUUGUGGAGAGGAGAGUGUCUGCCCUGCCGGUGGUGGAUGUUACAGGAAUGGUUGUAGACAUUUACUCCAAAUUUGAUGUCAUUAACCUGGCAGCUGAGAAGACCUACAAUAACCUGGACAUCACCGUGACUCAGGCUCUGCUGCAUCGCUCGCAGUACUUCGAGGGAGUCAUGAAGUGUUACCGACACGAGACCCUGGAUACUAUAGUGGACAGGAUCGUCAAAGCUGAGGUGCACAGGCUGGUAGUGGUGGAUGAUAACUCCAGCAUCGAGGGCAUCAUCUCUCUCUCAGACAUCCUGCAGGCGCUGGUUCUCACCCCCGCAGGUAUAGACGCACAGAAUUCCUAAAUCAACCCUCCAUUUCACUUUCCUUCUCCCUCUCCACUCUUCUCCGGACCCAAUCUCCUCUCCCUGGACAUCUAUCACUCGAGUGUCCCUCUCUGACCCCCUGAGCACAGGAGGACACAGAAGGGACAGUGUGACUGAAUGACAAGACAAUAUUUUGGAGAAACACAAAUAAAAUCAUAGAACCAGAAAGGUCCAGCUGGCAUUCCUGACGGGAUACAGAGAAGAGGACAGCAGGAAUAGUUGAAGGGCUGGGGUUUGUGGGGGGCUGAUUCUAGCUGGGUCUGCAGUAUCUCCAGGGGGUUGAGCAUCUGAAGUGAACAUGUGCCUUCAGUGAAGACCUGGGUGAGAGCUGAUUGUAGAGGUCAGCAGAGAGCCAAAGAUGUGCGUGUCGUGCAAAACCAGGCUCUUGAUUCUUCAGCAAUACUGCUGUCGGCUCAAAGAACCUCUUAGACUCUGUAGACAUCUGGACUUUGUUUUUUCUUUUUUUUUCUUUUUUUUUUCACUUUCUUGAAAAUACUUCCAAGUUGCAUUUCAUCCCAAAAUGAAAAGAGAAAAUAUAUAACAUAAAAUGAAGCAUAAAACAAAAUAAUAAUUUGAUUAUUUGUUAUUUCAUGACUAUUAAUCAUACUUUCCUGCAUUUAUUAUUAUUGCAAUACAAAAACAUCUCAUUCUCAUUAUUUAUAUAUAUUUAAAUAAUAUAAAAACCAUAAAACAUUUAUAUAUUAAAAUUCUAUUACCUGUAAAAAAAAUAAAUAAUAAUAAUUGUUUUUUUUUUAAUAAUGACCAACUUAUGAGAAUCGCUUCUGAAAACAACUACAUUAAUAAUUUAAUAUUACAUAGUUGUCAUGAAAAUCAAUUAUUUUUUAGAGGUGAUUCUCAUUAGUUGGUCAUUAUUUAAAAAUUUACAUAUUAAAUAGAAAUAUACUUUUCUUAUUUUUUUAUUUUGCUUAAGUUACAGGUAAUAUAAAAAGUACUAUAAUAUAUAUAUGUCUUAUCAAUAAAUAAAGAGAAUGAUGAAUUAUGUUUUGUAUUACAGUAUUUAAAAUUGCAAAGAAAUGUGCUUACUUGUCAUGAAUAUAAUGUAACAAGCAAAAAAUAAAAAUCAAUGGGGUAAUAUAUAUAUAUAUAUAUAUAUGACGCGGACACAUUCUUGACAAGUUUAAUGAGAUUUAUCCGAAUAUUAUAGAUUUUCCUCAUUGACACUGGACUAUUAGUUCAAAAUGUCUACUGAAUAUGAAUUGUUUUUUCAUCCUAUUAGUUGUCAGUGGAAAAAUGUAUGUACUACAUCCGCACUGAAAGUCAUGGACUGUAUUUUUACUGGAACAAAAAACGUUCUGGAAAGUGACUCUAUAUACAGAGCCUUAUUUUUCUAUUAUGAGUGUCUGUAGUGUUUGUCAUUGUGGAGACACUACCUGUCUUGUGCAAUGAAAGAGCAGGAAUGUCAAAGCUUGCAGUUGCAGAAAUAGAAAUUGCAUCUUUGCACCCCAGUGAUAUGCUGACCUACUGUAAAUACAACAUGCCAUGUAAUGCGUUCAUACUGAUAAAUCAUGUAUUGUGUGAUUGCAUUUUUUCAUUGUAAACGCUGUCAGUGAAAGUUAAGACCGUUAGGUCUGGAGAGAAAGAAAUGUACAGUUUUGUACACAGAAAUGACACUAUAUUUUAUUUUUUAUGUGGUUGAGCUAAAUAUAUUGAUAAUGCAUUA